GACGAACGCUGGCGGCGUGCCUAAUACAUGCAAGUCGAGCGGACUGAUUAGGAGCUUGCUCUUAUGACGUUAGCGGCGGACGGGUGAGUAACACGUGGGCAACCUCCCCUGUAGAUCGGGAUAUCACCGAGUACUCGGUGCUAAUACCGGGUAAGAUCUGAGUUCACUUUCUCUUAGGUUAAAAGAUGACUCCGGCUAUCACUACAGGAUGCCCCCGCGGCGCAUUAGCUAGUUGGUAAGGUAAUGGCUUACCAAGGCGACGAUGCGUAGCCGACCUGAGAGGGUGAUCGGCCACACUGGGACUGAGACACGGCCCAGACUCCUACGGGAGGCAGCAGUAGGGAAUCUUCCGCAAUGGACGAAAGUCUGACGGAGCAACGCCGCGUGAGUGAUGAAGGGUUUCGGCUCGUAAAGCUCUGUUGUUAGGGAAGAAACAGUACCGAACGAACUAGGUCGGUACCUUGACGGUACCUAACCAGAAAGCCACGGCUAACUACGUG
rnacentral:rRNA from 1 species